UUCCGGUUGAUCCCCGCCGGACCUGACUGCUAUCGGAUUGGUACUAAGCCAUGCGAGUCGUUGUAGCAAUACAAGGCGGACGGCUCAGUAACACGUAGUCAACCUAACCUAUGGACGUGGAUAACCUCGGGAAACUGAGAAUAAACCGCGAUAGAUCAUUAUGCCUGGAAUGGCUUAUGGUUCAAACAAUUUAUUGCCGUAGGAUGGGACUGCGGCCUAUCAGCUUGUUGGUGAGGUAAUGGCCCACCAAGGCUAUAACAGGUACGGGCUCUGAGAGGAGAAGCCCGGAGAUGGGUACUGAGACACGGACCCAGGCCCUAUGGGGCGCAGCAGGCGAGAAACCUUAGCAAUGUGCGAAAGCACGACUAGGUUAAUCCGAGUGAUUUCUGUUGAAGAAAUCUUUUGUCAGUCGUAAAACCACAGACGAAUAAGGGGUGGGCAAGUCUGGUGUCAGCCGCCGCGGUAAUACCAGCACCUCGAGUGGUCAGGAGGUUUAUUGGGCCUAAAGCAUCCGUAGCCGGCUACGCAAGUCUCCGGUUAAAUCCAGCUGCUCAACAGAUGGGCUGCCGGAGAUACUACAUAGCUAGGGAGCGGGAGAGGUAGACGGUAUUCUGUGGGUAGGGGUAAAAUCCACUGAUCCAUAGAGGACCACCAGUGGCGAAGGCGGUCUACCAGAACGCGUUCGACGGUGAGGGAUGAAAGCUGGGGGAGCAAACCGGAUUAGAUACCCGGGUAGUCCCAGCUGUAAACGAUGCAAACUCGGUGAUGCAUUGGCUUAUGGCCAAUGCAGUGCCGCAGGGAAGCCGUUAAGUUUGCCGCCUGGGAAGUACGGACGCAAGUCUGAAACUUAAAGGAAUUGGCGGGGGAGCA
rnacentral:rRNA from 1 species